UGGGGAAUCUUGCACAAUGGGCGAAAGCCUGAUGCAGCGAUUCCGCGUGGAGGAUGACGCAUUACGGUGUGUAAACUCCUUUUUUGGUGGAAGACGAAUGACGGUACACCAAGAAUAAGGGCCGGCUAACUACGUGCCAGCAGCCCCGGUUAUACGUAGGUCCCAAGCGUUAUCCGGAUUUACUGGGCGUAAAGUGUCCGUAGCCGGAUAUACAAGUCUGUUUUCAAAGAUCCUGGCUCAACCAGGAAAAGGGAAUAGAUACUGUAUAUCUAGAG
rnacentral:rRNA from 1 species